rnacentral:rRNA from 1 species
AUUGAACGCUGGCGGCAUGCUUUACACAUGCAAGUCGAACGGCAGCGCGGGGGCAACCCUGGCGGCGAGUGGCGAACGGGUGAGUAAUGUAUACGGAACGUAUCCUGUAAUGGGGGAUAACCAGUCGAAAGAUUGGGUAAUACCGCAUACGCACGAGAGUGGAAAGUAGGGGAUCGCAAGACCUUACGUUAUAGGAGCGGCCGAUAUCUGAUUAGCUAGUUGGUGGGGUAAAGGCCUACCAAGGCGACGAUCAGUAGCUGGUCUGAGAGGACGACCAGCCACACUGGGACUGAGACACGGCCCAGACUCCUACGGGAGGCAGCAGUGGGGAAUUUUGGACAAUGGGCGAAAGCCUGAUCCAGCCAUGCCGCGUGCAGGAAGAAGGCCUUCGGGUUGUAAACUGCUUUAGUCUAGGAAAAAAGGGGUGCGAGGUUAAUACCCUCGUGCUUUGAUGGUACUGGAAGAAUAAGCACCGGCUAACUACGUG